rfam:Loxodonta africana unplaced genomic scaffold scaffold_18, whole genome shotgun sequence.
CCAUUGGUGGUUCAGUGGCAGAAUUUUCGCCUCCCAUGCGGAAGACCUAGGUUCAAUUCCCAGCCAAUGCA